GACGAACCGUGCGAACGUUGUUCGGAAUCACUGGGCUUAAAGGGCGCGUAGGCGGGCUGUCAAGUCUGGGGUGAAAUGCCGCGGCUCAACCGUGGAACUGCCUCAGAUACUGACGGCCUCGAGGGAGGUAGGGGCGUGCGGAACUGUAGGUGGAGCGGUGAAAUGCGUUGAUAUCUACAGGAACUCCGGUGGCGAAAGCGGCGCGCUGGACCUCUUCUGACGCUGAGGCGCGAAAGCUAGGGGAGCAAACAGG
rnacentral:rRNA from 1 species